CUUCCUGCGCCUGCGUGGUGGGCGUAGCGUGUGUUUGGGCUGGAAUAUCCUGGGGCUUCUCCUUCCUAAUUCUUUAGUGUCCUCGGAUCCUGCCCUCUGACGAGUGCUCGGAACUUCCCUUCAGAGUAGAAUCCUCUUUUUUUUUUUGACUUUUACAAGCGGGAAAAAGACCUGCGCCCACUAGUUGUAAACACUGGGAGAACAAUAUAUUGUAUAUGUAGUACGGCUUAUUUUUCUGUAAAACCCUCGUUCCGCGGACUCCUAAUUGUAUUAAGAGCUUUUAUAUUUUGGUUUUUUGUAUUUUGACUACAUUGUGGUGCGGUAGUAGUGCCGGAAGGCCUAAUCCUGCAAUGAAUCCUGCUAUUCACUGAGCACCUAGUACGUACUAAGUACUGUUCUGGGCGCCGGGAAAACAACUGCCGUUGCAAUCUGAAGGAGCAGGAAAGCCUUAAUAAUAAUUACGUCUAGCUUUUUUUUUUUAAAUCGUUUUACAAAUUUCUCAACUUUCUUUGUGGGCGUAGUACAUUUCGGUUUACUGGAGUCUUGUUAAAUCUUUUGUUUACACCUACCAUAGCUAUUAUAAUACAGGUCUGUUUUCCCAUUUCUUAACUUUUCAUAGGAUUAUCAUUCUCAGAAGGCAGGAAAUAUUUAUCUACUAACUACGCACAGCACCGCCUUUAGGAAAUGCUUUCUCAGCUGUAUACGCUGCAGACACCGUGCCCACCUCCUGCCACCCGCCCCACCCGUAUUUCUUUUUGACAGAGCUCAAAAUCUAGCUUUCUUUGGGGUGAAAUGUAACAUUUAAUAUAAAUUCUAGAUAAAGGAAACAACCCACUGAUUUGAAAACUGUCAGUAGACGACUGAGUUUCCGACCACAUGAUAAAAAGGCAUCACUGAUGAAAAGAGCCCAAGUAUUCAGCAUACCAAAGGAGAUGAUGCCUCCCUUAGGAAAAAUUGUGAAGCCCCCAGAGUCUGCAACAACCAUGUCACCAGCUUAGGAAUAUCAGGCAUCAGUAAGAAGAUGGAGAAAAUCUGCUUUGUGUGGGAGAACUCAAGAGAAUGUUCUGGCCUUUGGGUGUUGACUGAAAAACCAUACCCCGAAGCUAUUCAGAGGAAGGAAUGUAGGUAAAAAGCAAAAAUGAUUUUGCAUGUUAGAGGUUUAGGGAAAAGAUUUGAUGGCAAAUAAGGCAGAAUAUCAUCUUUCUCAAUUAUAAAGUUGUGGGAUGUCAUCUAUCCAUGGUAAAGACCCAUCUCCUCCAUCUCCACACAUAAAGUGGACAAUUGCAAACCCCACUAACACAGUAUACAUGGUAACCCCAAAUACACACAGUGCACCUUGAUCUCAGGUCUUAGUGCUUCACAGGGUUAAUCGAUCUGUUUCUCUUGAAAGGACUGCAUCUAAUCCUUUAAGUAUUAGGAAGUGGAUUGCUAAUCCAUAAACAAAAGAGAAAAGCAAGUCCCUGUGCUACCUGAAUGAUAGGUAAAUCUUCCAUUCAGGAGUUCAUUGCUAUUAAGGAGACAACACCUCUGCUGAGAAUUAAGCCUAAACUGAGGUAAAGUGGACCUUGAGAUUAGGAGAGAAAAAGAACCAGUACACAGUGCUGAUGUGUCAGGUAAAGAACAAGGAAGGAGGCAAGCUGAGUCCUUUAGUAAGGUGUGUGUGUGUGUGUGUUUAAAUAGAAUAAGAAAACUGGAUGUUUAAAUCAACAAAAUGCAGAAGAUAAAUUAGUGUGUAAGAUGGGCAUUAAUAAGCAUAUAUUUUACUAUUGGAAAAAAAAGUUUUAAAAAAAGGAACUAGUUUAAAGCAAGAUAGUUUCCUUUUUAGUUUUCUUUUAUUUACCAAAUAUGGUAAAACUGUAGCAGCUACAGACUUAACAGAAGUAAAACAGAUGAUGUUAUUAGGAAGUCACAAAUGCACUGGUUUUAGACUUCGUUGGCUUUUAAAAAUAAAACGGGGACUUCCCUGGUGGUGCAGUGGUUGAGAGUCCACCUGCCAAUGCAGGGGACACAGGUUCGAGCCCUGGUCUGGGAGAAUCCCGCAUGCUGCGGAGCAACUGGGCCCGUGCACCACAACUACUGAGCCUACGCUCUAGAGCCCGCGAGCCACAACUGCUGGGCCCAUGUGCCACGGCUACUGGGGCCUACACACCUGGAGCCCGUGCUCCGCAACAAGAGAAGACAUGACAAUGAGAAGCCCGCGCACCGCAACGAGGGGUAGACCCCGCUCGCCGCAACUAGGGAAAGCCCGAGCGCAGCAGCAAGGACCCAACACAGCCAAAAAUAAAAUUAAUUUGUUAAUUAAAAAUAAAAUAAAAUAAAACAGUUGCCCUUUUUAUUUUCCAUUCCAUAUUACAUAUUAAAUACUCUCAAAUAUCUAAAGGACCCCAAUCAGAAUUUUUUAAUAAAAUAAUCUUGACGUGACUUCUUUCUUAUGAAUUUACUAAAAUACUUGAGAGGAGAAAGAAUAGUUAAAAAGUUAAAUAGUUAAAAAGACAUAUCCUAUGAUUGUAAUCUACUUUUAAUCUAACUAGAGACUAAAUUAAUUACUAAUUUUUAUGCCUGCUUUAUUAUAAAAUGGUAGCCCAGUUGUAAACAAGUUACUCUGAUUUUAUGUCAAAAGACUAGCACAAGUGAAAACAGAAAGUCUAGAGUUUAGUUAAUAGUAGUGUAUUAUACCAAUGUUGGUUUCUUAUUUUGGCAGCUGCAAUACAGUAAGAUAAAAUGUUAACAUUGGUGGAAACUGGCUGAGAGUAAUAUGGGAACUCCCUGUAAAUAAAAGAGUAAAAAGAGUCUUUGUGACUCUUCUGUAAAUAUAAAAUUAUUCUAAAAGAAAAAGGUUAUGAUUUUCUAAAAAGCCUAGCACACGAUAUUUAUAACAAUGGGUGUAAGGAUAUAAGGAUAAUGGCUUGCUCAAUAUUAUCCAGAUGAUUACUGCAAUCAUGAAAAUUAUACAUAAAAAGCUUGUUAAUUAAUAUUUUGGACUUUUCUAAGUAAAAUCUAUGUUUAAAAAUUCAGCUCAGACUAUCAGUUCUAAACAAGUAAUCUAUAAAGCACAAUCAGACUACGAACAGUUCUCUAAUUUGGGGGAUAUUAGAAUACCCAGAAAUAGUCUUUCUUGAGACCAAAAUAAGUUGGAUGAGACCAUCUGAACAAAAGAAAGUUAUUGUCUGCCAGUUUCUCCUGCAUUUCUGGUUAAUUUGGAAGGAAAAGUAAAGAACUGCAAGGAAUCAGAUGUCCAUAUAUAUCUUCUUUUUCCAUUUUUUUCUGAUAUUCAGAUAUUUCUGAAAUCAGGGCAGUUGGUAAGAUCUAAAAACCCAGGAGACAGAGCUCUUUUAAUAAGUGAUUUUGUAGAGCUCAUUAAAGAUAUCACAUGCCUUCUUAUUAAAUUAACUAACUAACUAACCCAAAGAACCUGUGUCCAGUCCCGCCACAGUUCUUGGCAUUUAGUCUUAGAGAGCUGGCAGACAGUAGCCCAUGGGCCACAUCUGGCCUGUUGUUCUUAUUUUUAAAGCCCAUGAAUUAAGACUGGUUUUUACACUUUUAUUUUUUUUUUGCGGUACGCGGGCCUCUCACCAAUACGGCCUCUCCCGCCGCAGAGCACAGGCUCCGGACGCGCAGGCUCAGCGGCCAUGGCUCACGGGCCCAGCCGCUCCGCGGCAUGUGGGAUCUUCUCGGACCGGGGCACGAACCCGUGUCCCCUGCAUCGGCAGGUGGACUCUCAACCACUGCGCCACCAGGGAAGCCCUAGGUUUUUACACUUUUAAAUAAUUGAAGAAAAAAAGACCAAAAGGAGAAUAUUUCAUGACACAUGAAAUGAAAUUCAACUUUUAGCAUCUGUAAAUAAAGUUUUAUUAGAACACACCAAUAUCUCUAUGGCUGCUUUUCUGUUACAAAGGCAGAGCUGAAUAGUUGUGACAGAGAUGAUAAAAUCUAGCAUAUAUACUGGCCCUUUAGAAAAAAAGUUUGUCCAUUCUAUUAUAGACAACUUCCCCCAUAUACACACACCUCCCUCUUGGUUUUCAGAGCAGUGUUCUCAUUUGACUUUCCAGCUAACUGCCACUCUGGAAUGUAAGCAGCCAUACGACAGGCUUGGUCUGGUGAGGACAGGACAAGGAGUGUGCUUAGCUAGGAGGGGCCUGGCAGACACUAAUACAAAGGUAAGAUGUCAAGUACUGGAAGAGCUAAUAUAUGGCUGAAGAGGCUGGGCAGGUCCUGGUGAUCUGAUAGAAAGGUCCCAUUUUAGGAAGUCAGCCGAGGAAUGGGGAGACAGGAAUAGGAGACAUGAUAUGAGUGGUCUAGGAAGAGCCUAGAAGGUCAGAGUUUGCAAGAGCUGCAUGAACAAGCAGGGUGAAACCAAACCCACAUUCUAAUCUUGAGACAAAGGUCACUGCCCCAUUUUACCCUGCUAUCUGGGGUUGGAUGGCAUUAGGUCCAAAACUACUAAUGACAUUCAGAAGAAAAUCAGGGACGUGAGGGGAACCCUACCUUCUCAUAGAUUCAACUCCUGUGAUGGAUGCUGAAGAAAAACCGCUUAUCUCUCGACCACUAGACUUUCCUUGAUACUGGUCUUCCUCCACUUACAAUGGUGUUACGUCCUGAUGAACCCAUCGUAAGCUGAACAUAUCGAGCUGUGGGAGCCAUCUUGUGUUCAUGAAUCAACAAGAAUAAGGGCUGGCAGAGCAGAGGGAAGGAGCCUGAGAUCUGAUGACUUUGCUGAAUGAAGGCCAGCUACCGAGUUGCAGAUAGGAGACCUGUCUUUGAAUUGGAAGCUGAAGUGGGGACACUCCAUUCCGGGCAGAAGAAAUGCUUAUUCUUCUCCACUAAGGAAAAAAACAAGUUACAUAGCAUAAAUGUUCUCUGAAAGCAAUGGAGAUAGAAUGAUCCACCAGAGUUGAAUCAACAGAGGCAAGAGUGGUUUGGAAAAAAACCAAAGUAACAAAAUGUGAUUUAAAAAUACAUUUUACAGGGCUUCCCUGAUGGCGCAGUGGUUGAGAGUCCGCCUGCCGAUGCAGGGGACACGGGUUCGUGCCCCGGUCCGGGAAGAUCCCACAUGCUGCGGAGCAGCUGGGCCCAUGAGCUGUGGCCGCUGAGCCUGCGCGUC